UACGUAGGGUGCGAGCGUUGUCCGGAAUUAUUGGGCGUAAAGGGCUCGUAGGCGGUUUGUCGCGUCGGGAGUGAAAACGCCGUGCUUAACACGGCGCUUGCUUUCGAUACGGGCAGACUAGAGGUAUUCAGGGGAGAACGGAAUUCCUGGUGUAGCGGUGAAAUGCGCAGAUAUCAGGAGGAACACCGGUGGCGAAGGCGGUUCUCUGGGCCGCAACUGACGCUGAGGAGCGAAAGCAUGGGGAGCGAACAGG
rnacentral:rRNA from 1 species